AACUGGCUGCAGUGUUUUCCAGUUUGGGUGAGAAAGACUAAGAACAAGGCUUUCAAAUGAAUUAUAAUUUAGUUUAGGUUUAGGGUCCAUUAAAACGCUCGAAUCAUAUAUAGCUGCCACUCCACCUCCUCGGCCUGUGCCUCGAGGAAUGUGAGUAUUAAUAUGACUGGGGGGGUGGAUUCAUUUAGGCUAACAUACUCCUCGUGGGACAACCAGGUCUCAGUAAGACAAAGUAUAUCAAUAUCAUAAUCUGAUAUUAAUUCAUUCACUAAAACAGCUUUAGAGGACAGAGACCUGAUAUUUAACAGCCCACAUUUCAUUCUCUUAUUUUGUGCUACUGAGGAGUUGGUUUUAAUUUUUAUUAGUUUUUUAUGUUGAACUCCUCUUGUUUUUAUUUCUUUAAAUAGUUUAGGUGGUCGGGGGACAGACACAGUCUCUAUGGGGUUUUGGGUGGGUGACUGUUCUAAAGAAAGAGCAGAGAAGUGUGUAAGACAGCAGCUCUGCUUCCUGGUCCCAACUCUGGACUGUCAGGUUUUAGAAAUAAACUUCGCCAUAUUUCUAGAUAAGAGAGCCGCUCCAUCCAAAGUGGGAUGGAUGCCGUCUCUCCUAAUCAGACCAGGUUUUCCCCAAAAAGGCUUCCAGUUAUCAAUGAAGCCCACAUCGUUUUCUGGACACCACCUCGACAGCCAGCGGUGGAAUGACGACAUGCGGCUAUACAUGUCAUCACUGGUCACAUUGGGGAGGGGUCCAGAGAAAACUACGGUGUCCGACAUUGUCUUAGCAUAAUUACACACCGACUCCACAUUAAUCUUAGUGACCUCCGAUUGGCGUAAACGGGUGUCGUUACCGCCGACGUGGAUAACAAUCUUACUGUAUUUACGUUUACCUUUAGCCAGCAGUUUUAAAUUUGAUUCAAUGUCGCCCGCUCUGGCCCCAGGGAUACAUUUAACUAUGGCCGCUGGCUUCGCUAACUUCAUGUUUCUGACUAUGGAGCUGCCAAUAACCAGAGUUGGUUCCUCAGCGGGUGUAUCGCUGAGUGGGGAAAAUGUAUUAGAAACGUGAAGCGGUUGGUGGUGAACUGUGGGCUUCGCCGUUCUAGCCUUCCUUCGCUCAGUCACCCAGCCUCCCUGUCUUCCCGGCUGCUCGGGAACUACCGGGGGAUCUACAGAGCUAACAGAAGCUACCUUCGGUCGGACCGCACCGGCUACUGGGGGCUGGCUAACUAUAGCGGCUAAAGAUAUCUCCGUGGUGCGGUGCCGUUCCUCUAACUCACUAAGCCUCGCCUCCAGCGCAGUAAAUAAACUACAUUUAAUACAGGUACCAUUAUCAUUAAAGGAGGCAGAGGAAUAACUGAACAUCUGACACACUGAGCAGGACAGAGGAGAGGGAGAGGGAGAAGCCAUAGCUAACUGCUAAUGCUAAUGAAACUAACGUGUAUGAAAAAACUUUGAAAGUAGUGAAAAAGUCGCUAAAAGAAGGAGAAACUCCGAGUGUUUAAGUAGAACUAGUCUACGUUUAAAUGUUAAGCGGGUAAAUAACCGCUGUAACGAGUAAAACAAAUUUAGAGUUAGCGUUCACUGACAGAGCUACAGCACCAAACAGUGUACACAGAGCAGGAAGUAAACCGGAAAUGAGUCAGUACGCUUACCGUAGCACGUCACACAUAGAGAACAUCAACAAUAAUCGAUGCCAUUGGGGUAAAGAAACCUGCAAACGGUCAAGAGCUUGAACAAUUUGCAGAGAAAGAGUGGGAGAAAAUACCAGCUGAGAAGCUUAUAGAUGGCUACAAGAAACGUUUGGAGGCUGUCAUCACUGCCAAAGGGUGUGCAACCAAAUAUUAAAGAGGGGUGCCAUUAUUGCUGCACAUGCUGUUUCUUCUUUUAAAUUACAAUAUGAUCAUCCUCUGCUCACCUGUCAGCCCGCUCAACUCUCCAUCUGCAGGCUGUGGAGGCGGCUGUGGCUGUAGCGGGUCGUUCCUUAAUCCGAAGGUUGUGGGUUCGAUCCCCGGCCCCUGGUGCCACAUGUCGAAGUAUCCUUGAGCAAGAUACUGAACCCCAAAUUGCUCCCGAUGCCGUGCAUCGGUGUGUGAGUGUGUAUGAAUGUUAGUUUCUGUUCUUUGCCAUCACUGAGUGAAUGUGUGUGAAAGGGUGAAUGUGGCACGUAGUGUAAAAGCACUUUGAGUGGUCGGAAGACUAGAAAGGAGCUAUACAAGUACAGGUCCAUUUACCGUUUACCAUUACCAAUGUUCACUGCUGGGUGUAUCAAACUCUUACCCGUCUACCUUCAUUCCCGGCUUGGCUUGACUCAGCACAGCCACCCUCCAUUCUCCGUUUACCCUGCACCAAUCCUCAGCUUUUGCAAUUAAGUUCUGUUUUGGUCAUUUUAUCACUGAGUCUCUGUUCUACAUUUGGGUUACUUUUUAUUUAACAUUUACUCUUUUUAAAAAAAUUCCUUUUGACGUUGUAGAAGAAGAAACAAGCUUUAAGAGUCUGUAGACAAUGUUCCAGUCAAAUCACCACUGACUUUAGAAGAUGUGAAAAAUAUUAUCUCAUAAUGUUCGUAAUUAAUACCCAAAUUAUUUAGCUAUGUCUAAAUGUAUGGGAUUAUGAACCCAAAUUCCUGAAAUUAGGUGUUUUACCCUAGUUAAAUCAUGGUAUUGCGAUAUGAACAAUAGGAAACAAAUUAGGAUGGAACAUUGUCAGGAGUUUAGAUCUUCCUGAAGACAUUUCAUUAUGUUAUAAAGAGUUCUACACAGACAAAGAAAGGUGAAUAUUCUUCUUGUUGGCGACACAAUUAAGACAAAAAGGACCAGACAAAUAUAUAUUGAACCAAAACACCUGCAGCCCAGUAGUGCCAUUGCCUCACGAAAGUCAGAACAAACUUUUAAAUUAGGCCUUGUAGUUCUUAUUUGAGUGAAGUUUCAGCAACUGGAUUGCUUAUUUCAAAAAUGUGUUCAGAAACAGAUUUUGGUGGACUGCUAAUGUAAAAUUAGUUUGCGCACGCUGAAUGAGUCCUGUGUCUCAACUAUUUUUUUGUGGUCCCCAGCAAAAAUAGAAAAGGGUCUGUUCAUAGUUAUAUCGACAGUAUACCAACAACACUUUUCAAACACUUAGUCAAUGUCUAUAUGUGUAUAUGUGCUCUGCUAGUCCCCUUGUUGCCUUCCCCACCUGUGUUAGCACCCCAUACCAGAGGUGGUUCACCUGACUGUUGCUGUUUUGCUCAGAAGCUAGUUUGCUUUGCUCGUUUAGCCUGUUAUGCUUGAUAUUUGUUUGUUCUGCUAAUUUAUUUUCGACCAGCUGGGUGGUUGUUUGUAAUUGUUUUUGUAUGAGUGUUAUUUCUCUUUCAGUAAAGCAGAGCACCAUAUUGUGGGGAGGCUAGGCACUCGUGGUGAGAUCCCCACUCUUGAUGCAUGUGAGUGAGAGCACUGGGACACAUCUGUAGACUGCACCUUUGUGCUGUGAGGUUUGCUGUGUUUCACUGAAGGUGAAUUAGAGGUAGCACCCCUGGGCACUCCUCAGUGUAGUCUGCCUCUCUACAACUGGCCUCAGCUCACUCUCCUUAGUUUUGAUUACUUUAGGUUGGACUAAUUCAUUUGCUUAUUAAUAUGAAGGGUUUUAGAUAUUGUAUAGGCCAUUUGUUUUAUUUAGAAUAAUUGUAAUAAAGUAUUUUUAAUCAUCACAA